AAUGAACGUUGGCAGCGUGGAUUAGGCAUGCAAGUCGAGCGACAAGGUCCUGGACGUGGAGGAGCGGCAAACGGGGUAGGUAAUACAUCGGAACGUACCCUCACGUCUGGGAUAGCCACGGGAAACUAGUGGGUAAUACUGGAUAAUCUCACCACUUGUGAAGAGUGGUGAGCAAAGGUCUGCCGCGUGAGGAGCGGCCGAUGCGAUACUAGAUAGUUGGUGGGGUAAUGGCCUACCAAGUCUAAGAUGUCUAGGGGGUGUGAGAGCAUGGCCCCCACCACUGGGACUGAGACACUGCCCAGACACCUACGGGUGGCUGCAGUCGAGAAUCUUUGGCAAUGGGCGGCAAGCCUGACCAAGCGACGCUGCGUGCGGGAGUGAAGG
rnacentral:rRNA from 1 species